UUCUGCAACAGCACCUGCCAUACAGGAAUGGCUGUUUGACUCCGGGGCCAAUGCUCACAUCACCAAUAAUCUAGCUACUGUUGCGCAUCCUCAUCCUUAUACUGGCAUGGACCAAGUCAAUGGAGUUGUUGGUGGCACAGGAACUCCACACGGGGAGGAUGCUUUUACAAGGCCCGAGUAGGAAUGGAUUCUACCCUUUUUCUGGUGUUUCAUCUUCCAUUAAAGGCGUGUCUGCAUUUUUAGGAACUAGAGUGUCCAAUUCAAUUUGGCACUCUAGGUUAGGUCAUCCAUCUUCUCAUAUUUUGCAAAAUUUGGUUUCUAGGAACAAAUUGCCUAUUAAGGGCGUUGUAACUAGUGAGUUAUGUCACUCAUGUCCCAUGGGCAAGAGUCACAAGUUACCUUUUCCAUUGUCUGUCUCUAGGUCUUCAUCUCCUUUACAAUUGGUUCAUUCCGAUGUAUGGACUUCACCUUCUUUUUCUAUCAAUGGUUUUAAAUAUUAUGUCGUGUUUAUUGA